rnacentral:tRNA from 1 species
CCGUCGAUAGCUCAGUGGUAGAGCGUAGGACUGUAGUUGAGUUAUAUCCUUUGGUCGUUGGUUCAAAUCCAGCUCGACGGA